ensembl:lncRNA
UCUCACACUCUCAGCUGGAGAGGAUUCUGCUCCCAGCUGCCCUGGAUAUGCAUCAUGCGCCCAGCGUCUCCUCCCAUCUACACCCCAGCAAGAAGGACGAGCUUUCUGAAGUGAGUCCAGCACUGUCCGGAGCCCCUGAGACUCAGAGAAAUUCGUAAUACAUUUCACGUCACACCCACCUGCUCUCCGCUGGGCCAGACGAGAGGGAGUGACAAGCUUUGGGAUUGAACUCAGGACCUUGAGCUUUUGAAGCAAGCGGCAGAACCACUGAGCUAAACCCCUGGCCCUCUGGUUCUUUUGAGAUUUUAAUGAAAGAUUUUAUUGCAUUUAAAUGGAGACUUCCCAGAUGUACUAAACAAAGAAAGAUGUCCAGCUGUUACCUCCCAAACAGUGAGCCUUUAUUAAUGAUGGAAGCAAAAAGCCUCAAGACACUUACUGGAUGAGUGUCCGGGGCUGUUAGAGGGCCCAGGGCGGUCAGCAAUCUGUUCUCAUUGAUGCCAUUCCCAGUUCUCUGACCACUGGAUUAUUUAAAACUCACUUGGUCAGUGCCUCUUGACUUGAUUACAACAGUUCCCAGGCUGUGAAGAGUUAAGCCAAAGAGGUUUUCAUUAAUUUUCCUUCUCUUUAGAGACUUGAGGGUUGCUGUUUCAAAGAAAGCUAGAUACCACACUGAGCCAACUAUUUGGCGAGAAGUUUCUCUUCUGGGAGAGAGCAGUUAGUUGAGAUUCCAG